UACGAAGGGGGCUAGCGUUGCUCGGAAUCACUGGGCGUAAAGCGCACGUAGGCGGAUCUUUAAGUCAGGGGUGAAAUCCUGGAGCUCAACUCCAGAACUGCCUUUGAUACUGAGGAUCUUGAGUCCAGGAGAGGUGAGUGGAACUGCGAGUGUAGAGGUGAAAUUCGUAGAUAUUCGCAAGAACACCAGUGGCGAAGGCGGCUCACUGGCCCGGUACUGACGCCGAGGUGCGAAAGCGUGGGGAGCAAACAGG
rnacentral:rRNA from 1 species